rnacentral:rRNA from 1 species
GACGAACGCUGGUGGCGUGCUUAACACAUGCAAGUCGAACGGAAAGGCCCUGCUUGCAGGGUACUCGAGUGGCGAACGGGUGAGUAACACGUGGGUGAUCUGCCCUGCACUUCGGGAUAAGCUUGGGAAACUGGGUCUAAUACCGGAUAGGAGCCAUCUUUAGUGUGGUGGUUGGAAAGUUUUUUCGGUGUAGGAUGAGCUCGCGGCCUAUCAGCUUGUUGGUGGGGUAAUGGCCUACCAAGGCGGCGACGGGUAGCCGGCCUGAGAGGGUGUACGGCCACAUUGGGACUGGGAGACGGCCCAGACUCCUACGGGAGGCAGCAGUGGGGAAUAUUGCACAAUGGGCGCAAGCCUGAUGCAGCGAGGCCGCGUGGGGGAUGAAGGCCUUCGGGUUGUAAACUCCUUUCGCUAGGGACGAAGCUUUUUUGUGACGGUACCUAGAUAAGAAGCACCGGCUAACUACGUG